ACUAGUCUAGCUUAGUUGGUAGAGCACAAGACUUUUAACCUUGUGGUCGUGGGUUCAAGCCCCAUAAUGGGCA
rnacentral:tRNA from 7 species